UACGAGGAAAGAACCAACAGGGAUUGCCCUAGUAACGGCGAGUGAAGCGGCAACAGCUCAAAUUUGAAAUCUGGCUCCUUUGGGGUCCGAGUUGUAAUUUGCAGAGGGAGCUUUUGGCGUCGGUCGUGGUCUAAGUUCCUUGGAACAGGACGUCACAGAGGGUGAGAAUCCCGUACGUGGCCGCCGGCCUUCGCCUUGUAAAGCCCCUUCGACGAGUCGAGUUGUUUGGGAAUGCAGCUCUAAAUGGGAGGUAAAUUUCUUCUAAAGCUAAAUACCCGCCAGAGACCGAUAGCGCACAAGUAGAGUGAUCGAAAGAUGAAAAGCACUUUGGAAAGAGAGUGAAAAAGCACGUGAAAUUGUUGAAAGGGAAGCGCUUGCGGCCAGACGUGCCCGCGGUUGAUCAUCCAGGCUCCAGCCUGGUGCACUCCUCCGCGGGCAGGCCAGCAUCAGUUCGGGCGGUCGGAUAAAGGCCUCUAUCACGUACCACCCCUCGGGGUGGCCUUAUAGGGGAGGCGCAACACGGCCAGCCCGGACUGAGGUUCCGCGCAUCUGCUAGGAUGCUGGCGUAAUGGCAGCAAGCGGCCCGUCUUGAAACACGGACCAAGGAGUCUAACAUCUAUGCGAGUGUUUGGGUGUCAAGCCCGAGCGCGCAAUGAAAGUGAACGGAGGUGGGAACCCUUACCGGUGCACCAUCGACCGAUCCUGAUGUCUUCGGAUGGAUUUGAGUAAGAGCAUAGCUGUUGGGACCCGAAAGAUGGUGAACUAUGCCUGAAUAGGGUGAAGCCAGAGGAAACUCUGGUGGAGGCUCGCAGCGGUUCUGACGUGCAAAUCGAUCGUCAAAUUUGGGCAUAGGGGCGAAAGACUAAUCG
rnacentral:rRNA from 1 species